rnacentral:rRNA from 1 species
UACGUAGGUGGCAAGCGUUGUCCGGAUUUAUUGGGUUUAAAGGGUGCGUAGGCGGGGACUUAAGUCAGUGGUGAAAUACGGCAGCUCAACUGUCGAGGUGCCAUUGAUACUGGGUUACUUGAGUACUGAUGAGGUAGGCGGAAUGGACGGUGUAGCGGUGAAAUGCUUAGAUAUCGUCCAGAACACCGAUAGCGAAGGCAGCUUACUAAGGAGUAACUGACGCUGAUGCACGAAAGUGUGGGGAUCAAACAGG